UUUAGAGGAAGGAGAAGUCGUAACAAGGUUUCCGUAGGUGAACCUGCGGAAGGAUCAUUGUCGAUGCCUGCACAGCAGAACGACCCGUGAACUCGUGAAACAACCUCCGGGCGGGGGUGUCAUGCCCCCUCUCGAAAACGGAUGGGAGGGCACGUCUUGCUUGCCCGUCGCUCCUCGCGCGCGGCGGGUCGAUCUCCUCGUCCCCCCUCCCAGCCGAACAACGAACCCCGGCGCGGUCUGCGCCAAGGAACUCGAACUAGGAGUAACCGCGGUCGCCCCGGAAACGGUGCGCGUGCCGUCGGUGACGUCUUAUCACGAUUAUAUAACGACUCUCGGCAACGGAUAUCUCGGCUCUCGCAUCGAUGAAGAACGUAGCGAAAUGCGAUACUUGGUGUGAAUUGCAGAAUCCCGCGAAUCAUCGAGUCUUUGAACGCAAGUUGCGCCCGAAGCCAUCCGGUCGAGGGCACGUCUGCCUGGGUGUCACGCAUCGUUGCCCCAACCCCAUCGCCUCUCACGCGGCAUGGGGUGCGGGGCAGACAUUGGCCUCCCGUGCGCUGUCGCUCGCGGUUAGCCUAAAAACGAGUCCUAGGCGGCGAGCGCCACGACAAUCGGUGGUUGUCAAGACCCUCGUGACCCGUCGUGCGCUGCCCGUCGCCGUGAAGGCGCUCCUCGGCCCCGACGUGUCGCUCUCGCGACUCUACCAUCGCGACCCCAGGUCAGGCGGGACUACCCGCUGAAUUUA
rnacentral:rRNA from 1 species